AUGAAGCGAUUCCCCGAACGGAGCAGAGGUCCGGCCCACGGCGGCUCCCCAGCCAGCCCCAGCUUCCCCAAGGCCUUCUGCUUGUUCCCUCUCUCCCGAAGGCCGAGAUGUCCGGCUCCCUCGUCCCGGUUCUCCUCUUCGCCGCCGCCCUGGUUCCUGGUAAGUUGUCUCCGGGGGCGCGCAGGGAAGCCUGCCGAGAGGCGCAGCUGCUUUCCUGCCUGCCCCACUUCUUUCUCCGCCCCUGCAGCUGGCCGGACGGCCGUCGCCCUGGAGCAGAGGCCCAUCUCCCUCACCCGAAAUGCCAAGCAGUCCGCCAGUCUGAACUGCAAGAUUCUGAACCCCGUCUCCGAUUACGUCCACUGGUACCGCUCCCAGGAGGGCAGGGCCCCCGAGCGGCUGCUCGUCUACUCCAGGAGCAAGUCCGAGUCCGUCCCGGACCCAGGAUUCAGCGCGGACAAAGUGCGGGCUUACAAAGGGAAGGACGACACCUGUAGACUGAUAGUGAGUGACCUGCAGGUGAGCGACUCUGGGGUGUAUCACUGCGCCAGCUGGGACGGACCACAGCGGCAGGCGCGCCGCAGCCCCCCAGCACAAAAUCUCCUCCGCGAUAGCUGGCGCUUCCAGCCAAGCCCCCAAGUCAGUAAAGGCUGGGCCCCCGGAGCCUUCACUGCACUUCAAGCCCCAGGACAAGCCCGGGAACGUUGGCCAAAUGCUGGAGAGCUGGCGUCCCCGAGCUCACCUGUCCUGUGCCCACAUGAAGCAGGAGGUCUCUGUCACAGGCAUUCAGGGUGACUCGGCUCGAAUCACCUGUCAGGUCUCUAAUGCUGUUUCCUACUGGAUACACUGGUACCGGUUUCAGGAUGGGAAGCCCCCACAGCGCCUUCUCUGCUUGUCCCGGGAAUCAGGCGAGCUGCGUUUUGAUGAGGGCUUUGGCAGUAAUAAAUUCCAUGCUUUUAAGGAUCA
ensembl:lncRNA